CCCAGCCCGGGGACUCGCCCCUCAGCCCGGGGACUCGCCCCUCAGCCCGGGGACUCGCCCCCCAGCCCGGGGACUCGCCACCGCCCCCAGCGGCCGCUACCGGUACCGCCCCGCCCCGCCCCGCCCCGCGCAGGCCGCGCCGCCAUGGCCGCGCUGCACGCCAAGGCCGGCGGGCCCCCGCAGAUCCCGGACACCCGCCGGGAGCUCGCCGAGCUGGUGAAACGCAAACAGGAGCUGGCGGAGACGCUGGCAAACCUGGAGCGGCAGAUUUACGCCUUCGAGGGAAGCUACCUGGAGGACACGCAGAUGUACGGGAACAUCAUUCGCGGCUGGGAUCGCUAUCUCACCAACCAGAAGAACUCCAACAGCAAAAACGACCGGAGGAACCGCAAGUUCAAGGAGGCCGAGAGGCUCUUCAGCAAGUCCUCGGUCACCUCAGCAGCGGCUGUCAGUGCGUUAGCUGGAGUCCAGGACCAGCUCAUUGAGAAGCGGGAACCGGGCAGUGGCACAGAGAGUGACACUUCUCCAGACUUCCACAACCAGGAGAAUGAACCCAACCAGGAGGAUGCUGAAGAGCUGGAUGGCUCCAUGCAGGGUGUGAAGCCCCAGAAAGCUGCUUCCUCCACUUCCUCUGGGAGCCACCACAGCAGCCACAAAAAGCGAAAGAACAAAAACAGACACAGAUAUUUGGAAGAAGUUCAGGAAUAACACAAGAAACUACAUCCGUGAACAAGUCCAGAGAAACUACCUGUAAAACUGAAGUACAGCUUAAGAAAACUGCCAUUUCAAACAAAUUAUAAAAUAUUCUCCCUGGACAAACCAUGGCCAACAAUAUGGUGGGGUGCAGGGCAGGUGCUGGAACUGACAUAACUCCCUUUGCUCUCGUCCAUGACCCGGACUUUAGAGACAGGAGCUGGGGGGAAGCUGCCCCCCAACAGGUUGUGUGGCUCUGGGUUCCUUCAUAUCCCCCCUCUUUGGCUUUGGCUGCUGCUGCCAGGGUGGGCUCUUGGACAGAGGAGCCCUGCCCUGCUCACCUGUGGCAGCUUCUGUUCCCAGGGUCAGUCACUCCGAGGGGCUCGGUGAGGCAGGAACCAAUGUUUGUAAUGCUUAGCAGGGCCAGAUAGAUAACUAAAAAAGAUAAUUAAAUUUGUCUGUAAUAAAAGCUCUUUUAAAAUUGUGAUUGCUGUUACUGACUAUCCCCUAAAUUUUGGCAGACAAGACCAGACAAUUCUUGAGUAUAUUUAGGCUAAAAUACCCCAGCACCAACCCAGUCCCUGAGUGUGCAGCGAGGGCGUUCCAGGCCCCACAACCCCACAGGUGCUUCAGCCAGACCUGCAGGUUUGUCCCCUGAGGGGUCUGGCAUGAAAAAGAGAAAAAUAAAAAGAAAUGUUGGCUUUUCUCUUUAUUCAGAAGCUCUUCCAUUUGCCAGCACGACUCUGGGUUUCACUCCCCAGUUCCUGGCGGACCGGGAGGUGCUGGGAAAGGGCCUUGCAGGAGCAUGGCCUCAUUGGGGUGCCUGUGUGGGGAGCUGGGUCAGCAUGGGGACCUUUGGCUGCAGGUGCACACAGAGCCUCAGGUGUGGGUACAGAGCUGAGCUGUCCCUCUGCUCCCUGCCACACUACAACAAGGCCAGCGUGGGUAUUUUCUGUGUGCUCAGCUGUUGUCACGGCGAACAAGUGUUUGAGGGAACCCAGUGCUGUUUCCUCUUAGCAAUGCAGUCCUGGAAUGGGAUUCCAUGAUCAAUCCUUCCCAACUGGUGUCAGCUGGGGGCAGAGCUGUGUCUGGAGGCCGUGCUCUGGUGCUUCUAUGAGGGGGUGGGACAGUCACCAAAGUGGUCAGCUCUGGCCAAGCAUCCCUGGGCCAGCCCUGCUGGGGGUGUGGGGGGAACAGCCCAAUGCAGGGUUGGGCACCAGGUUCUGUGUCACCUAUGCCUGAACCAGCUUUGCCUUGCCCUGGCAGCUCAACCCCCCUCCCCAGCUCCCUAAACCCACCCUGCUUCCUGACCCCUCACUUUGGUUUUCCAAGCCCUUGGGUUCCUGUCCUGCUCCUGAGCGAGCUGGGCCGUCUCCGGGUCUGGCAGCUGCCCCUCUUUCAGCUCCUCAACUCCCCUGCAUAAACCAAACCCACCUCUCUGCUAACACCUCUUGUUCCCAGAAGUCCAGUGGGGAGGGGGACUCUGCAUUGCCAACCUAGAGUGCUUUUUGUGUCCAGUCCUGGUUAAAAUAUCUGAAAGGCUUGAUAGUGUUUGAACACUGGCUUUAUUAUUUAAUUAAUUUUACUUUUUUAGCAAUCUCUCUAGGGUGGCUAAUCAAUUAAUUGAUUUAAUUCAUUAGUAUAUUAAUUUCUAUUGCUUUCUUCCUUUCAAAUGCUGCCCCUCAGCCCGUCUGGCAUGUUUGAUUAUGACUUUGAGUAUGUAUAUUAGGUUAGGCUGGGAAGUUUUUUUUAAAAACAGAAAAGCGUGAUGGAGGAUUGAUCUCAAGUUAAACAAAAAGCCAAGAGCCGACUACUAGAGCCAUCAGUGCUGAUGCUCCUGGGAUUUAGGUCUGUGACUCCCCACUGAGAAGCCCUGAAGCAGGAUGGCAGCUGCAGCAGGAGUGACUCACUCUAAGGGACUUGGAUGGGGGGAGGAAAUCCUGGACCAUGUACUUUGCAUCAUUUUUAAAUCACCUGAGUUGCAGGAAGACAAAGGUGGUGUAGUAGUUGUAGUAGUUCUGAAUUCCUGACUGUUCUGUGCUUCCACCUUGGUCGGGAACUUUCUGAAACAACUGAUACUGCUGCCCCCUUGUCACCUGCAAACCCACAGAGAGGCAUUUCCUUUUCCACUGGAACUGGGGUAGGAUUCAGUGUGUCCCAUCCAUGUUGUGAGACUUAGAUUAUUUUUGUUGCUGAUAUUUAGCUUUGCCGGUUUGGUUUUUUUGUUUUGUUUUUGUUGGUUUUGUUGUGCUUUUUUUAAAGCUGAAGUGUAUAGUUACAAGUUGACUUUGGGUUUCUUUAUUUAGUCCAUGCAGUGGAAGGUUCUUCAUUUUGUGGAACAGCUCUUUUGUUUCUUACUCAAGCAGAGAAGGUAGUUUAACCCUUUUCUCUUACUUUCACGUUAAAUACCAUCUCCCAAUAUUCCUCAGUGCAUUAGGUGCAGGAAGGGCCAGAGCUCAGAGCCAGCUGUUCGCUGUCUCUGACUUUGGGUGGGUUCUCUUUUUAAUACAAACUUCUGUCAUUUGUACAUAAAAAAUAAAAGUUCCAUGUUCGUCUC